UUAAGCGACUAAGCGUACACGGUGGAUGCCCUGGCAGUCAGAGGCGAUGAAGGACGUGCUAAUCUGCGAUAAGCGUCGGUAAGGUGAUAUGAACCGUUAUAACCGGCGAUUUCCGAAUGGGGAAACCCAGUGUGAUUCGUCACACUAUCAUUAACUGAAUCCAUAGGUUAAUGAGGCGAACCGGGGGAACUGAAACAUCUAAGUACCCCGAGGAAAAGAAAUCAACCGAGAUUCCCCCAGUAGCGGCGAGCGAACGGGGAGGAGCCCAGAGCCUGAAUCAGUGUGUGUGUUAGUGGAAGCGUCUGGAAAGGCGCGCGAUACAGGGUGACAGCCCCGUACACAAAAAUGCACAUGCUGUGAGCUCGAUGAGUAGGGCGGGACACGUGGUAUCCUGUCUGAAUAUGGGGGGACCAUCCUCCAAGGCUAAAUACUCCUGACUGACCGAUAGUGAACCAGUACCGUGAGGGAAAGGCGAAAAGAACCCCGGCGAGGGGAGUGAAAAAGAACCUGAAACCGUGUACGUACAAGCAGUGGGAGCACAGAGCAAUCUGUGUGACUGCGUACCUUUUGUAUAAUGGGUCAGCGACUUAUAUUCUGUAGCAAGGUUAACCGAAUAGGGGAGCCGAAGGGAAACCGAGUCUUAACUGGGCGUUAAGUUGCAGGGUAUAGACCCGAAACCCGGUGAUCUAGCCAUGGGCAGGUUGAAGGUUGGGUAACACUAACUGGAGGACCGAACCGACUAAUGUUGAAAAAUUAGCGGAUGACUUGUGGCUGGGGGUGAAAGGCCAAUCAAACCGGGAGAUAGCUGGUUCUCCCCGAAAGCUAUUUAGGUAGCGCCUCGUGAAUUCAUCUCCGGGGGUAGAGCACUGUUUCGGCAAGGGGGUCAUCCCGACUUACCAACCCGAUGCAAACUGCGAAUACCGGAGAAUGUUAUCACGGGAGACACACGGCGGGUGCUAACGUCCGUCGUGAAGAGGGAAACAACCCAGACCGCCAGCUAAGGUCCCAAAGUCAUGGUUAAGUGGGAAACGAUGUGGGAAGGCCCAGACAGCCAGGAUGUUGGCUUAGAAGCAGCCAUCAUUUAAAGAAAGCGUAAUAGCUCACUGGUCGAGUCGGCCUGCGCGGAAGAUGUAACGGGGCUAAACCAUGCACCGAAGCUGCGGCAGCGACGCUUAUGCGUUGUUGGGUAGGGGAGCGUUCUGUAAGCCUGCGAAGGUGUGCUGUGAGGCAUGCUGGAGGUAUCAGAAGUGCGAAUGCUGACAUAAGUAACGAUAAAGCGGGUGAAAAGCCCGCUCGCCGGAAGACCAAGGGUUCCUGUCCAACGUUAAUCGGGGCAGGGUGAGUCGACCCCUAAGGCGAGGCCGAAAGGCGUAGUCGAUGGGAAACAGGUUAAUAUUCCUGUACUUGGUGUUACUGCGAAGGGGGGACGGAGAAGGCUAUGUUGGCCGGGCGACGGUUGUCCCGGUUUAAGCGUGUAGGCUGGUUUUCCAGGCAAAUCCGGAAAACUAAGGCUGAGGCGUGAUGACGAGGCACUACGGUGCUGAAGCAACAAAUGCCCUGCUUCCAGGAAAAGCCUCUAAGCAUCAGGUAACAUCAAAUCGUACCCCAAACCGACACAGGUGGUCAGGUAGAGAAUACCAAGGCGCUUGAGAGAACUCGGGUGAAGGAACUAGGCAAAAUGGUGCCGUAACUUCGGGAGAAGGCACGCUGAUAUGUAGGUGAAGUCCCUCGCGGAUGGAGCUGAAAUCAGUCGAAGAUACCAGCUGGCUGCAACUGUUUAUUAAAAACACAGCACUGUGCAAACACGAAAGUGGACGUAUACGGUGUGACGCCUGCCCGGUGCCGGAAGGUUAAUUGAUGGGGUCAGCGCAAGCGAAGCUCUUGAUCGAAGCCCCGGUAAACGGCGGCCGUAACUAUAACGGUCCUAAGGUAGCGAAAUUCCUUGUCGGGUAAGUUCCGACCUGCACGAAUGGCGUAAUGAUGGCCAGGCUGUCUCCACCCGAGACUCAGUGAAAUUGAACUCGCUGUGAAGAUGCAGUGUACCCGCGGCAAGACGGAAAGACCCCGUGAACCUUUACUAUAGCUUGACACUGAACAUUGAGCCUUGAUGUGUAGGAUAGGUGGGAGGCUUUGAAGUGUGGACGCCAGUCUGCAUGGAGCCGACCUUGAAAUACCACCCUUUAAUGUUUGAUGUUCUAACGUUGACCCGUAAUCCGGGUUGCGGACAGUGUCUGGUGGGUAGUUUGACUGGGGCGGUCUCCUCCUAAAGAGUAACGGAGGAGCACGAAGGUUGGCUAAUCCUGGUCGGACAUCAGGAGGUUAGUGCAAUGGCAUAAGCCAGCUUGACUGCGAGCGUGACGGCGCGAGCAGGUGCGAAAGCAGGUCAUAGUGAUCCGGUGGUUCUGAAUGGAAGGGCCAUCGCUCAACGGAUAAAAGGUACUCCGGGGAUAACAGGCUGAUACCGCCCAAGAGUUCAUAUCGACGGCGGUGUUUGGCAC
rnacentral:rRNA from 1 species